CCAUUCAUAAGCUAAGCAGGGGACAAGGUAUGGCCCAUUAAAGAACUGCACUAUAAUGAGGCGUUAUCAUCCAGGUCCACACCAUGGAGGAGUUGGGGAUGUCGACUGAAUGAUACAAUGUUUCCUUGUCUCAACAUUCCAGCAAGACUUCCUGAUACUUGUUGAAAGGCAGUGAAUGAAUAAUCGAAUGAGCGCCAAAGGGAAUGAAUAAAUGAAGAUCAAGGAAUGGACAGUUCAUUCAGGCAUCUCAAGGCCAAGAAUCCAUCUCCUCAUAUCCUGAGAAAAUCAGCAUUUGAGCCAUGUGGCGGUUACAUACCUCAUCACCAGAGGGUCCAAGCAUCCCAGACACAAAGGCAAUCAAUAACCUUGGAGACAACUAGAUCAACAACAUGUAAGAUCUCGAGGUCUCCGAGUCUUCACUCAAAUGCUUUGAAGGUUGUGAGGGCAUCAUGCAGAAGGACCCCAAGAACCCUUUACUCAGAUGCUUUGGAGAUGUUCAUCAUGACGGCUUAAACUGGAUCGGAAGAAGAGCCCACGACAUAUUGACAUAGGAGCAUACGACUGAUCCCAAUUAGUCAAGUUUCCGGGAGAAGACAAUACAUACCCUGUCGGUUGGGUUGAGUAUCCCCUUAACGGCUAAUGCCGCCAUUGCAGGAAGUCAACAUCACGGCCUCACCACCCCACGGGCAGACCAUAAUGAGCAAGAAGAUCAACCCUGACCUUAUGGUGCAAUUGGAUCAACCGAACAUUCGUCUCCGAGGAUACAAAGCCGCCAUCAUGCCUGUGAGUGGUCACCAUGGUAACCAUCUACAGCCACUAGAUCCGGCCAGGACCAUUAACUACACUUUAAAAUCAUGUCUGUCAUAAGCAGACUAAUUGGCCAAAUGAUCAUGGAGAAGAAGAUCUUCGAUUUAUGUCUUAUUACUAGGAAUAGGUGUAUGAUUUUACAUGGUUCGAAAAUCAUCAUCCAAUCUUAUCAGAAUGUUGGUCUCUUCUCUCUUGCUCACUGAAAAUCAUCAAGUACAUGAAGUGUGUUUUUAUGAUCAAUCAAUCAUUUCCAAUAGGACAUUUAUAAAUAUGGAACUUAUUAUGCCAGUGCAAAUAUAAUAGCGGUUUGAUGGUUCUGAUCUCAUUUCUGUGAUAUAGUCACAAUUAUGACAUACCUGAAUCAAUUCAAGGGAGCAGAAUAAUCAGAUUUACUGUAAAAUCAUUUUCUAGAUCCCAGGAUCUGUCAGGAUAAGCACUGACAACCACUUUGAAGCCUAUUUGUCUCCCGACUAUCGUUACAUGAACAGACAUGGAUUCAGCCCAUGUUUUGCAGGAGAAGGGUUUAUUUCAGACCAGCUGCCACACACAACUUGGGGGCAUAUCAGAGAAUAAAUGGAUGUCUCCUUCGCCCUCAAGGGUAAAAUCUGAGGGAAAGCAAUAAAGGAAACAAUGCAAUCAUAAGCCGAGGUAGCCUAGGGGAAGAAUGAGCUGAUGGAUGGGCCUGCAUGUACCUAGUGUUAUAGGUUGGUUACACAAGUAUUAUAAGCCCAUGCAGAUUAUGGAAUAGCUACUUACUCACUGCACUAAUAGUUACUCUGCCAAUAGCAAUUAGCACCAGAUACACUGGCUGUCUUCAGGAAUGAACAUGCAGGCCAUAGACAGUGUUACCAACAGUAACUGGUAAAACAGAACUCUGAUUGGUACAUAAGCAAUCAAUAGCAAGCAAUAAACCCUACCAAAAACAUGUUGUUUUUUGUCUACCAAAAUAAAGUUCUAGCAGGGAUGGGUCUAAACUCAGAAACAAAGUUGGAAUGCCUUAAAAUACCCUACUGACUGGCAGUGGAGAUGAUCAGUAACCGUCUCCAGACAGCAUUCGGUGCAGAAGCCAAAAGUACAGAACAAAACAUCACUGUUGAUGACGGGCCAACAUUUCCUAUGUUUAGAGAUGGCAAAGUUGGCGGAGAGAGAUUUUACCUAAAAAGCGACAUGGAUGCCUAAUGAUCAUAUAUGCAGUUUAUUACAGGCAGUAUUCAGCUCCCUAUAUCUGCAGAUCCGCUUUGAGCAGGACUGUGGACCUCAUCAGACUAGACUAGUUGAUCAGUUGGUUUUAAAAGAUGAAGUGCAAUCUUUUUUUAUGAACCUGGGGAGAAUCAGGUUAAUCCCCAGCUACGAAAUACUUAUACUACCCUAAAGCUUGGUGCUCAUUAUAAGGAUGUGCAGGCGAUAGGUUCGUUGAAUACUGCCUCUCAUAUCCUGCAGCCAGCUGUUUCUAUCUCAAUCUUGAAAUUUUGACCCAGAGUAUACAGACAUCGACUAUCCAUCCUUAUUUUAUUCUUGAGAGUAAUUGAAUUGAGAGAUAUGCACAACCAGACUUGUAUUUAUUACAUAAGCAGACCUCCGUGAUGAUCGAUGACCUAAGUACAAACAACAUGAAAUAUUGUAUCUCA